rnacentral:rRNA from 1 species
GAUGAACGCUGGCGGCGUGCCUAAUACAUGCAAGUCGAGCGAACAGACGAGGAGCUUGCUCCUCUGACGUUAGCGGCGGACGGGUGAGUAACACGUGGAUAACCUACCUAUAAGACUGGGAUAACUUCGGGAAACCGGAGCUAAUACCGGAUAAUAUAUUGAACCGCAUGGUUCAAUAGUGAAAGACGGUUUUGCUGUCACUUAUAGAUGGAUCCGCGCCGCAUUAGCUAGUUGGUAAGGUAACGGCUUACCAAGGCAACGAUGCGUAGCCGACCUGAGAGGGUGAUCGGCCACACUGGAACUGAGACACGGUCCAGACUCCUACGGGAGGCAGCAGUAGGGAAUCUUCCGCAAUGGGCGAAAGCCUGACGGAGCAACGCCGCGUGAGUGAUGAAGGUCUUCGGAUCGUAAAACUCUGUCAUUAGGGAAGAACAAAUGUGUAAGUAACUAUGCACGUCUUGACGGUACCUAAUCAGAAAGCCACGGCUAACUACGUG